rnacentral:pre_miRNA from 1 species
CCCAUAAGUAAUAAAAUGUCCUUUUAGGUCCCUUAACUUUAUUUAAAGUAUGGGUUUGGUCCCUUCAGUUAAUUUAAUUUAAAAAAACGUUAAAUUUAGGGACCAAAUUAAUACUAAUUAAAUAAGUUAAGGGAUCAAAAAACCCACUUGGGUUGGCCUAGUGGUAUUGGCUUGGAUCUGAGAGUUUGCUCCUCCUCGUUCGAUUCCCUCCGGUGCCAGCUUAGGUGGACUAAUUUAGCUUUUUCAAAAAAUAUAAAAGGUUAAAGGACCAAAAAUUAACAUUUUUUUAUUAAUUAAAUUAACAUAAAAAAUCUAACUAAUACUUUAAAUAAAAUUAAGGGACUUAAACCAACCUUUUAUUUCUUAUUAUA